UACGGAGGGUGCAAGCGUUAUCCGGAUUUACUGGGUUUAAAGGGUGCGCAGGCGGAUAUGUAAGUCAGUGGUGAAAUCUCUGGGCUUAACCCGGAAAUUGCCAUUGAUACUAUAUAUCUUGAAUGCUGUGGAGGUAAGCGGAAUAUGUCAUGUAGCGGUGAAAUGCUUAGAGAUGACAUAGAACACCUAGUGCGAAGGCAGCUUACUACGCAGAGAUUGACGCUCAUGCACGAAAGCGUGGGGAGCGAACAGG
rnacentral:rRNA from 1 species